UGCUGGCGAUUAGAUAGAUAUAAAUGCCUGUGUUUUUAAUCUGGAUUCAACUUUGCUUUUUUCAACAAUAAGGGGUGCUAUAUAACAUUAUUUUAGCAAGAGUCAAAGACUGAGGGACAUGGAUAUUUCAUUCAAACAAACGAAGAACGGUUCUAAUGUUAAGAAAUCUGGUUAUGGUAGAAAGCUUACAAACCAGGAUACAUCAAGUACAUGUAAACACACACAGGAUUUAUAGGUGAGGGCGGCUUUAGCCUUCCCACAGUAAAAAGAGAGUAGUGUAAUGGUAUAGAGAUAAAGUUGAGAGACUUGGCUGCACUGCAAAGCUUCCUUUGGAGUGUCUCUGCUGCAUUCACUCACAUCUAAUAUGGAUGAAGAACUGGAGCAGAUACCUUCCGAUGGAGGUUUUCCAGGCACACCCAACUGGGAAGAGAAAGAGACCCUGGGGCAGACCCUCAACACGCUGUGGGGAUUAUAUAUCCCACCUGGCCUUGGAACGCCUCGAAAUCUUCAAGAGGGAACUGGAGGAAGUGGCCAGGGCGAAGGUCUAACCAGCUGCCACCAUGACCUAGACCCAGAUAAGCAGGGUACAAUGGAUGGAUGGUGUUGCAUUGCAUCUAUGGUCACUGCGAUGUGACGUAAUGAUGUUUACUUUAUUAUCUCCAUCCUGAUGAAGACCUGGAUGGCAUUUUUAACUAUUAACAUGUGUCCCCAAAUAAAAGCUUUUAACUCAA